rnacentral:lncRNA from 1 species
GUGUUGAUGGUGAACUUGAUGGAGGGGGUUUGUAGGUGAAGGGCGAUGGAGGAGUUUCGGGGGAAGAUGAUGUUGGAGGAGGUGUUAGGCAUGCAUUGAUCGGAGGUGAUGGUGGAGGAGGAGGUGUUAGGCAUGCAUUGAUCGGAGGUGAUGGUGAUGGUGAAGUUGAUGGCGGAGACUUAUAGACGUAAGGAGAUGGAGGAGAUUCUUUUGGUGCCGGAGAUGGAGAUGGUGGAGAUUUAUAUACAAAAG